ACAAUUAGAUAUAGGUGCCCCUGAUGCCAAAUAGACCCUAAUUGUAUAUUAUCUCCGAUCACAUCGGCUUCGACUUCGCAAACACCCAUCUCUUCUCUCUCCCCCGUAAAGAUCAGAAUUUUUGAUACAUAAAAACAAACCCAAAACCAGAUGCUAAAUAAUGUUCUCAAAAUUGGGCGCCAUUCCAGAGCUGAUACUAUGCUUUGGAGUCCUCCGUCUUUAUCAGUACAUUUCUACCCUUAAUUUCAGAAAAUGUUACUGUUUCCACCAUUGCAACUACUAUAAUAAAGAUGCAUCACUGUUACAUAUAAAUAUAUAUGUGUGUGUGUAUAUAUAUAUAUGGCAAUUACAUUGAUGAAUUGCAAUUAUAUUUCAUCGCUGUAUUUUACUGUUUCGGGUUGAAGUUGGGAUUCGGCUUCAGUGACCAUUUUUGGUCAGUAGUGAUGUUUUGUGUAAUAUGAAGUUCGUUGAUUUGAUUUAUGGUUUGACUGGUAUAGGAUCAAUUGAUUCAAUGGUUUAAUGUUGUUAUUUCAAAGACUAAAUGGUUUAUUGUAAUUCAGGAAAAGCAAUUAAAUUGUUUAUUGUAGUUAGGGGCAGAGGGUUUAGGUCAUGUUUGGUAAUACCAUUAUCUUACUCUUAGUGGUGGCUAAUUGGUUACUUUUAUGUCUCUGAACCAUCUCAACUAGCAUGUAUUUAUUUAUUUUCAUUAUCAAUAUGAUGCUCCUGCAGUUCUUAUUUAUAAUUGAAUUUCUUCUUGUUCUUCUUCUCAUUCAUCUUGAUAUCAUAUUGGAAAUGACAAACAUGUGAAGUUGCAUUGUAGCUUAAUCGCUUCCUCGAAUUUCCCAUUAUUGAUGCUCACUGCACUUUUGUGAUGCUUAGUUAUACUCCUUUUUUCUGCCUGUUUAUGCUGAUUUACUCUCCUUUUAUUCCGAAGACGAUGCAUCAUACAAAAGCUUUUAAUGCAAAGAAAUUUAAGGGGUUUUAUAAGUAAAUAAUACAGUUCCUUUCAUGGCUCUCCUACCAGGAGACCAGUUUUGUAGUAAAUGAGGUAUUUUCUGUUGCCCAUUGAUUUAAAUUUUCAUCUGGAUCAGCGUUCUUGAUUUAAGCUGGAAGUUUUCAACAAUUGGAUCUCAAAUAUUUUGGCUAAAUUUUAUUACUUACUCCUAAAAGCUUCGUGGGUCAAUGACAAACAUGCUUUGAUUUAGUUUAGGAUUGGAAGUUAGUAAAUGCUAAACUAGCCUUGCAGCAUCGUGGCUUUAGUUCAAGUUUGAUUUGAACAAUGAUGUUUGUCACUGUCAUUGGAUUAUUCGCUACCAGAAACUAAGGACCUCUCUACAUACUUGCAGAAAUGUGUACAGAGUCAUAAUGGGUAAUCCUGAUGUAUCUGAUUGCAUUCCAGGUCUUUCCAUAACGAGUCUUUGUCUUGAUCAUUGCUUCUUGAAAUUAUAUGAAAUUAAUUAUAGCAGGAAAUGCACUUACUGCUGGCGAAGACCAGCUGCCUCGGCAAAGAGCAAAUGUCACAUUGGGUUCCGGAUACCCCAGACCAUAAGCAUGUCGUAGCAGCAUUUCCUUCUCAUCUGCUGGGCCCUUGUAAAUAUAGAUAUUGCAAGGUAAAUGAAGAGAACUACAAGAAUUCAUUAGAACAUUGGUGGAUAUAAAGAGAUCAGAUUUACUAGCAAUGUAUACAUACAUACACACUCACAUGCAUAGAAUCAGAUGGACGCCGAAGGAUGAAGUGCUCGAUGGCCAAAGCAUUAAGUACUAUGCCACCCACAUUUAUUGCAGCCUGGAUUAGAAACCACAAUGGAGAGAGCAUGCUUAGGAGCAACAGCUGAUCCUUUGCUGUCUACUGACACCUUAUUCAGCUUGAGAUAUAUCCCUAUCAAGCACUCAAGAAGUUCUUCUGAGAGUUUAUUUGGGUUCUCAAUGACAAUUUCUAUAUCUAGAUGGCUAUGAUUUCGGCUUCUUCGCAGAUAUCUCGAGUUUUCAACAAUUUCCUCUGUUCCCACAUCCCAAAUCAAAAGGGUUAGAGCCUAGAGGCUUGAUUUUCGAUAAUGAUUUUAAUGUCCAAGAGAUUGAAAGAAAUGGAGAGUCGAAGACUUCAUAUCCGUUGGACACAAUUUAUUGAGGGUGAUGUGGAACCAGAUGAGUGUAUCCAUUGAAUGAGGAGCUUUCGGCUUCCCAUUUGGUUCAAACUCUUCCGUGUUAAUAGUAUUACGUACUAUUGAUUUUUUAUAAUUGAUCAAUGGCACAUGUAAUGGAUUGUAUACAGUAACAUUCUGUUCAGAGAUAAAUAAGAAGUUUACCUUUAGCACU